UUCUUGCUUCUUUUAGUACUGAAUCUUUUCAUUUAAUGUUUUAAACAGUUUAAUUAUUGUUGAUGCGCCACAAUACAUAAGUACAUAACUGUGAUUUGAGGGGGCCUCUUCAAUUUCACAGCUGAUCAAAACCCAAAACUAAACUAUGUUAUAUGAGACUUUCAAAUACCUUUAUCACUUCAAAACUUUGUACCAGGAGACAUUAGAAGAUAGUAUAGAGAGAGAAUCGCAGGCGCGUGGACGACACUCUCGGCGAUUUUCUCUCCCAAACUUUUUCUUCUUCUGAUCACAACCUCUUGCACCGUCGAUGGUGGUUCUCCGUCGAUUCCGGCGAUGAAGAGAGCCCCAAGGCUCAUGGUGUUUCAUCCGUAAACUGCAGCAUCAACAAAGUGAAGCUUUCAGAUCAAAAUCAAGGGAGCAGUGGAAGGGAGAAGUUUCCUUGACACACCGACGGUAAGAGCUCUAUCGGCGGUGAUGCGACGUGGAGUAGAAGAGGGAGAUUCACGGUAAGGAUCGAGGGAGCAAGGUGGUUAGAUCCGAAGACUGGAGAUUCUGGAGGCUUCUCACGGCUGUUGUUCGAUGGGGGAGGUCGUCUAUGGCUAGGAGGAGCUAAGCCACCGUCGAAGGUUUCAGAUCUACUCCCUACCGCCUUUGAUCUCUCACAUAUGAGCCUGAAUCUCUUCGACAAUCAAAGCUCGGAUCUCUUCUUCCUCCUCAAAGCUGCUCUACGGUGGCGGGAUAACAACGGAUCUUGGAUCACCAUCUCUGUUUGACUCACGUCGUCCAGACUCACCGGAGGACCUGAUCCGAUGAGCAUCCGCAAUAUCAUGGGCGGCGGCUUAAACUGAGUUCUUCAGUUUGAGAUUAGGGUUACAGAGCAACCGAUUUGAUUCCGGUUCGCUAUUAGAUAAACCCGAGUCAAUUUUGAUUUUUGGUUUUACUUGGUUUGAUGUUUGUGGUUUAGGUCCUAAAGGAAUUAUUGUAAAUGAGCCUAAAUCCGGAAAUAACCCAUUGGACAUUUAUUUAUAAUAUUGAAUACCUUUCAAAAAAAAAA